ACCGGCAUCUCAAUAACGUCGUUAUUAUUAAAUUUAUGCAUUUCUAAUCAAUUUGGAGAUAUUUGCUAUCGAGUUGCAGAUUCUUUUACAAUGCAUUUGGUGAUUAUUUGCUUUAUUGUUCGGGCAAAAUUUACAACUUACGAUAAAAAAUAAAAUUAUUAUUUCAUUCAAAAAUUGAUGAGCUUUGUUUUUAGUGAUGACUUGAAAUGGCAAAUAUUUUUUUCUGACUGUAUUUGCUUGAAAAAAC